rnacentral:rRNA from 1 species
UACGUAGGGGGCGAGCGUUGUCCGGAAUCAUUGGGCGUAAAGCGCGUGUAGGCGGCUCGGUAAGUCUGCUGUGAAAGUCCAGGGCUCAACCCUGGGAUGCCGGUGGAUACUGUCGAGCUCGAGUCCGGAAGAGGCGAGUGGAAUUCCUGGUGUAGCGGUGAAAUGCGCAGAUAUCAGGAGGAACACCAUGGCGAAGGCAGCUCGCUGGGACGUGACUGACGCUGAGACGCGAAAGCGUGGGGAGCAAACAGG